UACGUAGGGCGCAAGCGUUUGUCCGGAAUUAUUGGGCGUAAAGAGCUCGUAGGCGGUCUGUUACGUCCGCUGUGAAAACCCAGGGCUUAACCCUGGGCUUGCAGUGGAUACGGGUAGACUAGAGGCAGGUAGGGGAGAAUGGAAUUCCCGGUGUAGCGGUGAAAUGCGCAGAUAUCGGGAGGAACACCGGUGGCGAAGGCGGCUCACUGGACCGGAACUGACGCUGAGGCGCGAAAGCGUGGGGAGCAAACGGG
rnacentral:rRNA from 1 species